AGUGAACGCUGGCGGUAGGCCUAACACAUGCAAGUCGAACGGCAGCACAGUAAGAGCUGGCUCUUACGGGUGGCGAGUGUCGGACGGGUGAGGAAUACAUCGGAAUCUACUUUUUCGUGGGGGAUAACGUAGGGAAACUUACGCUAAUACCGCAUACGACCUACGGGUGAAAGCAGGGGAUCUUCGGACCUUGCGCGACUGAAUGAGCCGAUGCCGGAUUAGCUAGUUGGCAGGGUAAAGGCCCACCAAGGCGACGAUCCGUAGCUGGUCUGAGAGGAUGAUCAGCCAAACUGGAACUGAGAAACGGUCCAGACUCCUACGGGAGGCAGCAGUGGGGAAUAUUGGACAAUGAGCGCAAGCCUGCUCCGGCCAUACCGCGUGGGUGAAGAAGGCCUUCGGGUUGUAAAGCCCUUUUGUUGGGAAAGAAAAGCAGCAGGUUAAUACCCCGCUGUUCUGACGGUACCCAAAGAAUAAGCACCGGCUAACUUCGUG
rnacentral:rRNA from 1 species